rnacentral:tRNA from 1 species
GGGUGCUUAGCUCAGGUGGUAGAGCAGCUGCCUUUUAAGCAGCGGGUCAUAGGUUCGAGUCCUAUAGCACCCACCA